UACGAGGGGGGGCGAGCGUUUGUCCGGAAUUAUUGGGCGUAAAGAGCUCGUAGGCGGUGUGUCACGUCGGCCGUGAAAACCUGGGGCUUAACUCUGGGCGUGCGGUCGAUACGGGCAUCACUAGAGUUCGGCAGGGGAGACUGGAAUUCCUGGUGUAGCGGUGAAAUGCGCAGAUAAUCAGGAGGAACACCGGUGGCGAAGGCGGGUCUCUGGGCCGAUACUGACGUGAGGAGCGAAAGCAUGGGUAGCGAACAGG
rnacentral:rRNA from 1 species